rnacentral:rRNA from 1 species
AUGGAGAGUUCCAAUGGCCACUGCUCCAUUUCCUUGGCCAUCCUCUUCGUCUUUGCUGCUCUGCUGCUCAACGCUGAUCUAGGGUCGUGCCACUGCUUCAAGCGUAUCUUCUCCUUCGGCGACUCCAUCAUUGACACCGGCAAUUUCGCAUAUACCAUCCGCAACAGACCACCGAGUCCACCCUCGGUGCUUCCUUAUGGAGAGACCUACUUCCACCACCCCACGGGCCGCGCCUCUGACGGGCGUCUCAUCAUCGACUUCUAUGCACAAGCGUUGGGCCUGCCGCUGCUGCCGCCGAGCUUGCCCGAGGAGAAGACGGGGCAGUUCCCCACUGGAGCC